rnacentral:rRNA from 1 species
GACGAACGCUGGCGGCGUGCUUAACACAUGCAAGUCGAACGGAAAGGCCCUGCUUGCAGGGUACUCGAGUGGCGAACGGGUGAGUAACACGUGGGUGAUCUGCCCUGCACUUCGGGAUAAGCCUGGGAAACUGGGUCUAAUACCGGAUAGGAGCCAUUUUUAGUGUGAUGGUUGGAAAGUUUUUUUGGUGUGGGGUGAGCUCGCGGCCUAUCAGCUUGUUUGUGGGGGAAUGGCCUACCAAGGCGGGGACGGGUAGCCGGCCUGAGAGGGUGGACGGCCACAUUGGGACUGAGAUACGGCCCAGACUCCUACGGGAGGCAGCAGUGGGGAAUAUUGCACAAUGGGCGCAAGCCUGAUGCAGCGACGCCGCGGGGGGGAUGACGGCCUUCGGGUUGGAAACUCGUUUCGCUAGGGACGAAGCUUUUUGUGACGGUACCUAGAAAAGAAGCACCGGCUAACUACGUG